CUAGUUGGUAAGGUAAAGGCUUACCAAGGCUACGAUGUUUAGGGGAUCUGAGAGGAUGACCCCCCACACUGGUACUGAGACACGGACCAGACUCCUACGGGAGGCAGCAGUAAGGAAUAUUGGUCAAUGGGCGAAAGCCUGAACCAGCCAUGCCGCGUGCAGGAAGACUGCCCUACGGGUUGUAAACUGCUUUUGUACCGGAAUAAACCUUUGGUCGUGACCAGAGCUGAAUGUACGGUAAGAAUAAGGAUCGGCUAACUCCGUGCCAGCAGCCGCGGUAAUACGGAGGAUCCAAGCGUUAUCCGGAUUUAUUGGGUUUAAAGGGUGCGUAGGUGGCUUUUUAAGUCAGGGGUGAAAGACGGUAGCUUAACUAUCGCAGUGCCUUUGAUACUGAAGAGCUUGAAUGAACUAGAGGUAGGCGGAAUGUGACAAGUAGCGGUGAAAUGCAUAGAUAUGUCACAGAACACCAAUUGCGAAGGCAGCUUACUAUGGUUUAAUUGACACUGAGGCACGAAAGCGUGGGGAUCAAACAGGAUUAGAUACCCUGGUAGUCCACGCCCUAAACGAUGAAUACUCGAUGUUGGCGAUAUACGGUCAGCGUCUAAGCGAAAGCGUUAAGUAUUCCACCUGGGGAGUACGCCCGCAAGGGUGAAACUCAAAGGAAUUGACG
rnacentral:rRNA from 1 species